GAUGAACGCUGGCGGCGUGCCUAAUACAUGCAAGUCGAGCGAACAGACGAGGGGCUUGCUCCUCUGACGUUAGCGGCGGACGGGUGAGUAACACGUGGAUAACCUACCUAUAAGACUGGGAUAACUUCGGGAAACCGGAGCUAAUACCGGAUAAUAUAUUGAACCGCAUGGUUCAAUAGUGAAAGACGGUUUUGCUGUCACUUAUAGAUGUAUCCGCGCCGCAUUAGCUAGUUGGUAAGGUAACGGCUUACCAAGGCGACGAUGCGUAGCCGACCUGAGAGGGUGAUCGGCCACACUGGAACUGAGACACGGCCCAGACUCCUACGGGAGGCAGCAGUAGGGAAUCUUCCGCAAUGGGCGAAAGCCUGACGGAGCAACGCCGCGUGAGUGAUGAAGGUCUUCGGAUCGUAAAACUCUGUUAUUAGGGAAGAACAAAUGUGUAAGUAACUAUGCACGUCUUGACGGUACCUAAUCAGAAAGCCACGGCUAACUACGUG
rnacentral:rRNA from 1 species